rnacentral:rRNA from 1 species
CCUACGGGUGGCAGCAGUGGGGAAUAUUGCACAAUGGGGGAAAGCCUGAUGCAGCGACGCCGCGUGAGCGAUGAAGUAUUUCGGUAUGUUAAACUUCAUCAGUAGGGAAAAAACUGACGGUACCUGACUAAGAAUGCCUGGCUAACUACGAGCCAGCAGCCGCGGUAAUACGUAGGGAGCAGGCGUUAUCCGGAUUUACUGGGUGUUAAGGGAGCGUAGUCGGCGGGGCAAGCCAGAUGUGAAAGCCCGGGGCUCAACCCCGGGACUGCAUUGGCAACUGUGCUGCUAGAGUGGCGGAGAGGCAGGCGGAAUUCCUGGUGUAGCGGUGAAAUGCGUAGAUAUUAGGAAGAACACCGGUGGCGAAGGCGGCCUGCUGGA